rnacentral:rRNA from 1 species
GUUAAGUGACUAAGCGUACACGGUGGAUGCCUUGGCAGUCAGAGGCGAUGAAGGACGUAGUAACUUGCGAUAAGCGUAGAUGAGGCAGUAACAGCCACUUGAGUCUACGAUUUCCGAAUGGGGAAACCCACUGGCAUAAGCCAGUAUCAUUGAGUGAAUACAUAGCUCAAUGAAGCGAACCGGGAGAACUGAAACAUCUAAGUACCCCGAGGAAAAGAAAUCAACCGAGAUUCCGAAAGUAGCGGCGAGCGAAAUUGGAUUAGCCCUUAAGCUUUACAUGUGUUAGACGAACGGUCUGGAAAGUCCGACGAUACAGGGU